CUUAUGAAAAAAGGUUCUUCAAAGGUUCUGAAAUGAUGGUAAAGGUUCUAUAUAGAACCAUAGCUUACUGAAGAACCCUUUUUUGCUGAAAUGGUUCUUUGUCUUGGCAAAAGGGUUCUUUUUUCCCUCCUUUUUUGAUUUUAAAUUUAGUCAGUUAUUUUCAAGCUGCCUCUUGAUUAUUUUCACCUGUAAAAGCCCUGAAUCAUCAGUCCUGCUGAACUGCCUGCAGACUAACAUCACAAACCGGUAAGAGAGGAAAAUAAUCAUCAUUUACUGUUAAAAACAUUUUGAAAAUUGAAGUUUUGUGUGUUCUUAUUGUAAUUUAUUUAUUUUAUAACAGGUAAGCUUUAUACUGAAAGCUUCAUUCCCUUUAAAGCAGAGUUUUUAUAUGUGAGGUAAUCUUGCUGGGAGUGAAGGCAGUGCGUAUGACCACUUGAUACGAGAGACACAUUCUAUUUUUAAAGGUCAACAUACUGUAAGCUUCAUUCCCUUUAAAGCAGAGUUUUCAUAUGUGAGGUAAUCUUACUGGGAGUGAAGGCAGUGCAUAUGACCACUUGAUAUGAAAGACACAUCCUGUUUUUAAAGGUGAUGUAUGCAUGUUACUUUCAAUGCUGGCAUUAAAAUAAUAGUUAUUUACUGUUUAAACAUUUUGGAGAUUGUGUGUGUGAUCUUGUGGCACAUUUACUUGUGAUAACAGAAUUAUUUUUGUCUAUCUGUUGUAGGUGGAUCAUGAGUGAAGCUCUGCAGGUAUGCCAUUGGCUUGAUAACAGUGGUAUAUGUGAAUUGAGUGAAUUCAAUUUAUAAAUAAAUCUUUCACCAAGCAUUCACCUAUUUACGGACAAAACAGAUCCAAAUCUUGUUCAGCCUGAUGCUCAACCUUGUAUGAUGAUGACCACAGCCAGGUGAUGGAGAUCUGUUUUAAUCACAGCCUGCGUCUCAAGAUCAACAUGACAAUAGCAGACCAUUUUUUUAUCUUACACUUAUCUGACUAAAUGUUCAGCAUCUUUGCAACAAAACAAAGAACAUUAGAUGGAGUAUUGGAGUAUUGGAUGAUCCCGUAAAGAAAAUAAUAUGGACUUUUUUGGUGAGAUUCUACAAAGAUUGACACAAUCCUAUUGACUUUUAUUUUUACAGUUAAUAAUGCAUUAUAAACAUCCCAUUCAUUUGUAUUCUAUGUCAUCGAUCUGUUUGUGCUAAAAUGUAUACAUCUGAAUGUAAUGUCAAUAAUAUGUUAAUAUUCAGGAUUUAUUAUCAUUUGCAUGUUUUGA